rnacentral:snRNA from 1 species
AAUGCAGCCCCAAUCGGG